AGUGAACGCUGGCGGUAGGCCUAACACAUGCAAGUCGAACGGCAGCACAGUAAGAGCUUGCUCUUACGGGUGGCGAGUGGUGGACGGGUGAGGAAUACAUCGGAAUCUACUUUUUCGUGGGGGAUAACGUAGGAAACUUACGCUAAUACCCCAAUACACCUUAGGGGUAAAGGCGGGGAUCCUUGGGACUUGCGGGAUUUAAUGGGGCGAUGUCGGAUUAGCUAGUUGGCGGGGUAAAGGCCCACCAAGGCGACGAUCCGUAGCUGGUCUGAGAGGAUGAUCAGCCACACUGGAACUGAGACACGGUCCAGACUCCUACGGGAGGCAGCAGUGGGGAAUAUUCGACAAUGGGCGCAAGCCUGAUCCAGCCAUACCGCGUGGGUGAAGAAGGCCUUCGGGUUGUAAAGCCCUGUUGUUGGGAAAGAAAAGCAGCAGGUGAAAACGCCGCUGUUCUGACGGUACCCAAAGAAUAAGCACCGGCUAACUUCGUG
rnacentral:rRNA from 1 species